rnacentral:rRNA from 1 species
AUUGAACGCUGGCGGCAGGCUUAACACAUGCAAGUCGAACGGUAACAGGAGAAAGCUUGCUUUCUUGCUGACGAGUGGCGGACGGGUGAGUAAUGCUUGGGAAUCUGGCUUAUGGAGGGGGAUAACGACGGGAAACUGUCGCUAAUACCGCGUAGUGUCGAGAGAUGAAAGUGCGGGACCUUCGGGCCGCAUGCCAUAGGAUGAGCCCAAGUGGGAUUAGGUAGUUGGUGGGGUAAAGGCCUACCAAGCCGACGAUCUCUAGCUGGUCUGAGAGGAUGACCAGCCACACCGGGACUGAGACACGGCCCGGACUCCUACGGGAGGCAGCAGUGGGGAAUAUUGCGCAAUGGGGGCAACCCUGACGCAGCCAUGCCGCGUGAAUGAAGAAGGCCUUCGGGUUGUAAAGUUCUUUCGGUAUUGAGGAAGGUUGUUGUGUUAAUAGCACGACAAAU